rnacentral:rRNA from 1 species
UACGUAGGUGGCAAGCGUUGUCCGGAAUUACUGGGUGUAAAGCGCGUGUAGGCGGGAGGCCAAGUCUGCUGUGAAAUCGCUCGGCUCAACUGGGCGGGGUCGGUGGAAACUGGUCACCUGGAGGACGGUAGAGGCGAGUGGAAUUCCCGGUGUAGUGGUGAAAUGCGUAGAGAUCGGGAGGAACACCUGUGGCGAAGGCGGCUCGCUGGGCCGGUCCUGACGCUGAGACGCGAAGGCGUGGGGAGGCGAACGGG